CUCUGAAAAUGGAUUGGCGACUUGUAGACAUGCACACCUGAUGACCCAACCGCUNUGGGGCAGAACAGUGCAAAUUGUGAGUGUUGCAGUAUGCCAGUGGCCUACAGUGCCCCAGCGAGUUAGGAAGGGGGCGACAGCGGUGUUGCGACAGAAGGGGAUUGGGCGUGAGCCUGCCUGGAGCCGCCGUUGGUGCAGAUCUUGGUGGUAGUAGCAAAUACUCGAGCGAUAUCCUGGAGAUCUGAUGUGAUGUGGAGAAGGGUUCCAUGUGAACAGCCUUUGCACAUGGGUCAGUCUGUCCUAAGCUGCAGGAGAAAUCCGGGUUCUGGCGAAAUUAGCGCUCCCGAAAACCAAUAAAUACAUUGAAUAAAUGGGUGUCGCUACCAAACCUAAGCGAGAGGGAAUCCGGUACUGAUUCCGGAACCUGGUCGCGGAUAACCUCUCUUCGGAGAGGGUUGUUGGGGUCCUCGUGAUCUACACCGUAAGGUAGCUAAACUCGGGGAAGUCGUCCGCUGUCCCGGGCAGAGUUUUCUGUUCUGUGUAUAAGGGCCCGGAUCCCUGGAAUCGCCUCGCGCGGAGAGAGGGAACUGGUUUUAUUUUAGCCCGAAGAGCCCCGCAGUUCUUGCGGGGUCCGAUUGGAUGGCGGUCGAACCAUGAAAACUCGAGGGAGGGCGUACAACUUUCGUGCCAGCCUGUACCGCAUAUCCGCAGCAGGUCUCCGAGGUGAACAGCCUCUAGUCGCAAUAGAUUCAUGUAGGUAAGU
rnacentral:rRNA from 1 species